UAAAAUUCAUGUAAAAAAAAAAACUAAAAUUAAUUAACCACUCUCUUUCUCUUUCACCAUUUUCGUCUCCUGCUACCUCUCUCUCUCUCUCAAAAUAUCUCAAAGUCUCAACCCUAAAAUGGAAGAGACGAUCUGUACCCAGUGGGUAUGAAGAUCAUUAAUGGCCAUUUCUCUAUGUCGUUGUUGCUGUUGAUGGUGGGCAUCAGAGUUUGGUGUGGGUGUUCGCCGACGGCUGGAGACGAGAAGUUCGACAUCGACGGUGCCGACUUCGACGGAAUCGGCAUCGACAGGCUAAGAAGAUCAAAGCCCUAAUUUUUUGUUGAAGCCUAGAUCUUCGUCUUAGUCUAGCACCACCGCUUCUUCAUCUCGUAUCUUCGUGUCAAUCCACCGGUGUUUUUUAUUCUUCUCUUCGUGUAUUGAUUUUUAAUUUUUAAUAUAUGGAUCUAAGUAAUAGCUACCAUUUUUAGUUUGGGAUCUGAAAUUUUGUGUACUGUAUUAGUUUUGGUCUAUUUAUGACUGCCCAAAAAUACUAAUAUAAUAGUUAUAAGUAUUUGAAUAAAUAUUUUAAUGUGGUCUGUUUAGUUUGUGA